rnacentral:misc_RNA from 1 species
AGGUGAACCUGCGGAAGGAUCAUUAUCGAAUUCAGAGGUUGAUGCUGGCUUCAUUGCACUGUGCUCGCCUCUUUGAUAAUAUUCAUACACCCGUGCACUUUUGAGGGACCCCUGGCCCCUCUUAUUUACAAACCCCCUUUGCAAACAGUGAACGUGAAUUGUGCCUUUUGGCCUUAAUAUGAAUACAACUUUUAACAACGGAUCUCUUGGCUCUCG